rnacentral:rRNA from 1 species
UUCCGUAUGUAACCUGCGAAGGAUCAUUACUGAUUUGCUUAAUUGCACCACAUGUGUUUUUUAUUGAACAAAUUUCUUUGGUGGCGGGAGAAUCCUACCGCCAGAGUUAUAACUAAACCAAACUUUUUAUUUACAGUCAAACUUGAUUUAUUAUUACAAUAGUCAAAACUUUCAACAACGGAUCUCUUGGUUCUCGCAUCGAUGAAGAACGCAGCGAAAUGCGAUACGUAAUAUGAGUUGCAGAUAUUCGUGAAUCAUGGAAUCUUUGAACGCACAUUGCGCCCUUUGGUAUUCCAAAGGGGCAUGCCUGUUUGAGCGUCAUUUCUCCCUCAAACCCCCGGGUUUGGUGUUGAGCAAUACGCUAGGUUUGUUUGAAAGAAUUUAACGUGGAAACUUAUUUUUAACCGACUUAGGUUUACCCAAAACGCUUAUUUUGCUAGUGCCCCACAAUUUAUUUCCAUAACUUUGACCUCAAAUCAGGUAGGACUACCCGCUGAACUUAAGCAUAUCAAUAAGCGGAGGAAAAGAAACCAACAGGGAUUGCCUUAGUAGCGGCGAGUGAAGCGGCAAAAGCUCAAAUUUGAAAUCUGGCUCUUUCAGAGUCCGAGUUGUAAUUUGAAGAAGGUAUCUUUGGGUCUGGCUCUUGUCUAUGUUUCUUGGAACAGAACGUCACAGAGGGUGAGAAUCCCGUGCGAUGAGAUGAUCCAGGCCUAUGUAAAGUUCCUUCGAAGAGUCGAGUUGUUUGGGAAUGCAGCUCUAAGUGGGUGGUAAAUUCCAUCUAAAGCUAAAUAUUGGCGAGAGACCGAUAGCGAACAAGUACAGUGAUGGAAAGAUGAAAAGAACUUUGAAAAGAGAGUGAAAAAGUACGUGAAAUUGUUGAAAGGGAAGGGCUUGAGAUCAGACUUGGUAUUUUGUAUGUUACUUCUUCGGGGGUGGCCUCUACAGUUUAUCGGGCCAGCAUCAGUUUGGGCGGUAGGAGAAUUGCGUUGGAAUGUGGCACGGCUUCGGUUGUGUGUUAUAGCUUCGUCGGAUACUGCCAGCCUAGACUGAGGACUGC